rnacentral:tRNA from 25 species
CAGACCGGAGCUAUCAACCACUCAGCCAUCUCUCC